rnacentral:lncRNA from 1 species
AUGCUAGGUGGCAAUACGAUUUUACUUGACUGUGCGUGUGAGUGAUGCUGUCCUUAUUCCACGCAUAUCACUGAUCUACAUACCAAUAUUAAAUGAUUUUCAUUUCAAUGAUUUUCAUAUGUUAUAAAAUUAUAAAUUAAGACCUCCAGAUGUAAUGUUUAAUAAUUUUUGGAUCUUUUAUUAUUCUAACACCUUCUUUAAUUUUUAGUGUCAAUUUCACCAUUCCUGGAAAUAAUGCCAACAGAGUUUUGAUGAGAAUCAGGCACCAUAUUUGCAGACAUGUAAACACAGUCCAUCCUGUCUUCCCAUGGAUAUCUCCUAUUGUCUGUUGUCAUGACAAUUCCAAGUGGUUUCCAUUGCUGUGAUUGUAAUAUACUGUGAGAUCACCUCUAGGUGUGAUCCUCUUCGUAUUUUCCAGCUCUGUGCUGCUCCUUGGUACUUUCAGGAUUACUUUCUGUAAAAUAUGCAAAUAAGAUUUUAAUAGGAAUUACUCGGCAUCUCCUCAGUUGUCUUCUCAUGUUUGAGAAGCACAUGGUCAGUGUGCCUGUUUUCACAUGUUUUAUGUAGUCUGUUACAGAUGUCUGCAUUCUAGGUUUUGUGAUCUGCACCCAUGUUGGUCAAGGACUUUCUAUCUAAUGGACCAUUUGCUAGUACUCUUAUUUUGUAUAUUAAUACUUUUGUCUUAAUUUUCUGUCACUAGUAUAAUUAUGAUCAUCAGUCUUUACUGAACUCCAAAUUCAUAGUAUUUAAAAAAGAUUCUUUCUCAGUGUUUUGUAUCUGUCAAUAUGAAAUGAAUUUUUGGUAGAAAACAUAUUUUUAACCUUAGCUUUCAUUUUGUGGAGUUUUUUGGUUGUUACCUUUUUUUCUUUUUUUUCUGAAAUGCUGUUUAAAUUUUUGGCUUAGAGAUUAUUAUCCAUGUACAUUUCAUUAAAUUACUGAAACAAGUGCAUUUGUUAUUAUUUAGGAACUUCUGAGUGGACACUGACAAUGCAAAAUUGGAACCUCUGUAUAGCAAAUUUGCAUUUUCUUAUGACCUGAAAUGUAGAGCUUUUUAUUAUGUACAUAUUGAACAUUUCAUCUGCUCUUGAGUAUGGUCUGUUCAACUAAUUUGCAUAUUUAUUAAUUAUAUUAUUGUUUCCUUCCUUUAUAAUUUUUAAUAGGUUUUAUAUUUCUAUCCAUUAUACUGUAGAAACCUAAUAUAUUUAUCUACUGGAGAGUUUGUCUCUUCAAGCUUUAUAAUUCUCAGUAUUACGCUGGAUAUUUUAAUUGUACACAGUACUAUUUGUCAGUUCCUGCUCUUGUAUCAAGUGUCAUUACCUUGUUAUUCUGCAGGAUUCACUGUUUCAGAUCCUACAUGAAGGUCUUUGAUUCUUUGUAUGGUAGGAGAGACUUGGACCCAUGUUCAUGUUUUUAUAUGCAGAUAGAUACUUUUCCCAGUACUACUGUGUGAAGAGGCUGUCUAGUCUGCAACACAUGUUUAUGAUAUUUUGGUGACAUUCACCUGGUCAUUGCUACUGGACAGGUUCUGGAUCUGCUGCACUUUUGCAUUGAUCAUUUGGAAUCACAUUGGAAUUGCUCAAGCAUUGUACUAUUUUCCAUUUAGAUAUUUAUGUCAUAUGUAUAUGAGUAUUUUGCUUGCAUCAUAUCUAUUCUAGACCUGGAGUUAUGGGCAGUUGGGAACCAUGUAUUGAUCCUAGUUAUGGAACUUGGAUUUCUACAAAACAGUAAACAGUGAAAGUACUGAGCCAUCUCUCUAUCCCUAUAUUAAGUGUAAUUUUUGUGCAUAGGAAUAAGAGAAAAUGGUCUAAAGCCUUCUAAUCAUUUUUAUGUGGUAUGUACACAUUUUUCAAUUUAAACAUACAUUUAUUAUUUUAAAUAAUUUUUCCUUUAAAUAUUGUUGUAUGUUUGUGUGGAUUCUCAAACAUAAAAAUACACCCUACUCAAUCUGUAUGUUUUCAGGGGUGAACAUUUGAUAUUGGAUGUUCUAUUCUCUGGGAAAGGCUAUUUCUCCAACUAAUUCUCCACUGAAUUCCUUAGUGUUUGACUAGGGUUGAGGCCGAGUGAGUUUUCUCCAUUCCAUAUAGCAUGUUUCUUGGUGUUGUCAGCUCAUGUUUAGACAAUCUCAGAGCCAACAUCCUGUUCCUCUGGCCCUUAAAAUAUCUUCCUUCUUUUUUUUUUCCCCCUAUUUUUUUCUUGGAUAUUUUCCUUAUUUACAUUUCAAAUGUUUUCCCCUUUCCAAGUCUCCCCUUCGGGAACCCCCUAUCCUAUCCCCCUGCCUCUAUGAGGGGGCUCCCCCAACCAACCAACCACUCCUGCCUCACCACCCUGGCAUUCCCCUUCACUGGGGCAUCGAACACCCUCAGGACCUAGGGUCUCUUACAGUUUUCAGGAUAUUGGGGUUUUGGCCUAUUUGAAUGAAAUAUUUAUAAUAUUUGACAAACUAGACAGACAUUUGAAAAGCACAGAAUUAAAUAAAUUAUUUUG